rnacentral:tRNA from 1 species
AGGGUUGUGGCUCAGUCAUAGAGCGCUUGCCUAGCAUGCAUGAGGCACUGGGUUCGAUCCCUGGCACCACAU